AGAGUUUGAUCCUGGCUCAGGACGAACGCUGGCGGCGUGCCUAAUACAUGCAAGUCGAGCGGACAGAUGGGAGCUUGCUCCCUGAUGUUAGCGGCGGACGGGUGAGUAACACGUGGGUAACCUGCCUGUAAGACUGGGAUAACUCCGGGAAACCGGGGCUAAUACCGGAUGGUUGUUUGAACCGCAUGGUUCAAACAUAAAAGGUGGCUUCGGCUACCACUUACAGAUGGACCCGCGGCGCAUUAGCUAGUUGGUGAGGUAACGGCUCACCAAGGCGACGAUGCGUAGCCGACCUGAGAGGGUGAUCGGCCACACUGGGACUGAGACACGGCCCAGACUCCUACGGGAGGCAGCAGUAGGGAAUCUUCCGCAAUGGACGAAAGUCUGACGGAGCAACGCCGCGUGAGUGAUGAAGGUUUUCGGAUCGUAAAGCUCUGUUGUUAGGGAAGAACAAGUGCCGUUCGAAUAGGGCGGUACCCUCACGGUACCUAACCAGAAAGCCACGGCUAACUACGUGCCAGCAGCCGCGGUAAUACGUAGGUGGCAAGCGUUGUCCGGAAUUAUUGGGCGUAAAGGGCUCGCAGGCGGUUUCUUAAGUCUGAUGUGAAAGCCCCCGGCUCAACCGGGGAGGGUCAUUGGAAACUGGGGAACUUGAGUGCAGAAGAGGAGAGUGGAAUUCCACGUGUAGCGGUGAAAUGCGUAGAGAUGUGGAGGAACACCAGUGGCGAAGGCGACUCUCUGGUCUGUAACUGACGCUGAGGAGCGAAAGCGUGGGGAGCGAACAGGAUUAGACACCCUGGUAGUCCACGCCGUAAACGAUGAGUGCUAAGUGUUAGGGGGUUUCCGCCCCUUAGUGCUGCAGCUAACGCAUUAAGCACUCCGCCUGGGGAGUACGGUCGCAAGACUGAAACUCAAAGGAAUUGACGGGGGCCCGCACAAGCGGUGGAGCAUGUGGUUUAAUUCGAAGCAACGCGAAGAACCUUACCAGGUCUUGACAUCCUCUGACAAUCCUAGAGAUAGGACGUCCCCUUCGGGGGCAGAGUGACAGGUGCUGCAUGGUUGUCGUCAGCUCGUGUCGUGAGAUGUUGGGUUAAGUCCCGCAACGAGCGCAACCCUUGAUCUUAGUUGCCAGCAUUCAGUUGGGCACUCUAAGGUGACUGCCGGUGACAAACCGGAGGAAGGUGGGGAUGACGUCAAAUCAUCAUGCCCCUUAUGACCUGGGCUACACACGUGCUACAAUGGACAGAACAAAGGGCAGCGAAACCGCGAGGUUAAGCCAAUCCCACAAAUCUGUUCUCAGUUCGGAUCGCAGUCUGCAACUCGACUGCGUGAAGCUGGAAUCGCUAGUAAUCGCGGAUCAGCAUGCCGCGGUAAAUACGUUCCCGGGCCUUGUACACACCGCCCGUCACACCACGAGAGUUUGUAACACCCGAAGUCGGUGAGGUAACCUUUUAGGAGCCAGCCGCCGAAGGUGGGACAGAUGAUUGGGGUGAAGUCGUAACAAGGUA
rnacentral:rRNA from 1 species